CCCCGGCGUAAAGAGUGGUUAAGCUAGAAUUUAUACUAAAGCCGAACAUCCUCACGGCUGUUAUACGCACCCGAAGAUAAGAAGCUCAACCACGAAGGUAGCUUUAUUUGUCUGAACCCACGAAAGCUACGGCACAAACUGGGAUUAGAUACCCCACUAUGCCUAGCCCUAAACAUUGAUAGUACCCCACACCCACUAUCCGCCUGGGAACUACAAGCAACAGCUUAAAACCCAAAGGACUUGGCGGUGCUUUAAACCCCCCUAGAGGAGCCUGUUCUAGAACCGAUAACCCCCGUUCAACCUCACCUUUCCUUGUUUCACCCGCCUAUAUACCGCCGUCGUCAGCUUACCCUAUGAAGGCUUAGUAGUAAGCAAACUGGCUA
rnacentral:rRNA from 1 species